GAAACUAGUUUUGACGGGAUUUCGGGUUUCAACUAUAACGCACACACACAUAUAUAUAUGUAUAUAUAUGUGUGUGUGUGUGUGUGUGUGUACACACCUACUCACGACAAUGAAUUGCAGCGAUCGAUGUAACAUUGCAGUAGUUUUAGAUGAUAAAAUAUUCUAAUAACUAUAUUAAAACGGUGUACGUCCGGACGAGAGUACGGAAUAAUUCAAUAAUAU